rnacentral:tRNA from 1 species
GGUAGAGCACUUCCUUGGUAAGGAAGGGGUCACGAGUCCAAUUCUCGUCAUCGGCUCCA